UACGGAGGGGGCUAGCGUUGUUCGGAAUUACUGGGCGUAAAGCGCGCGUAGGCGGACCUGCAAGUCGGGGGUGAAAGCCCGAGGCUCAACCUCGGAACUGCCUUCGAUACUGCGGGUCUCGAGUCCGGGAGAGGUGAGUGGAAUUCCUAGUGUAGAGGUGAAAUUCGUAGAUAUCUGGAGGAACACCGGUGGCGAAGGCGGCGUUCUGGACUGUUUCUGACACUGAAAAACGAAAGCCAGGGGAGCAAACGGG
rnacentral:rRNA from 1 species